AUAGGUUGAGUAUGAACCUAGAGUCGGGAUCUAGGUGUGUGGCAUCUAACCUAGUGUUAAAGAACAUAGGUUGAGAACUGAACCUAGAGUUAAGGUAAACCUAGGUUGUGAAAUUGAGGCAUUAGACCUAGAGUCAGUUGGACCUAGGGUGGAAAGUGCAUUGGACCUAGAUAGGUCAAUAGUAUAGGGUUGGAUAUGGACCCUUGACUUGUGAAGUCGAUUCCGGAAUCCCAGUACUUGUGAACUCAAUAGUUCUUGGACCGCGGGUGUAUGCGGCGAUGUUCCUCUCCCACCGGAAAGAACUUUGAGGAUUAUGACUAAGCAAGAACAAAGAGCGCUAGGGUGUACGGCAUGUUCCUCUCCCUAUCGGGGAUCUUGGCUAUGGGUGUACGCGGCUAUGUUUCCUCUCCCACUAGCGGAUCCCUGACCACGGUGCACGGACCUUCGGGCGGACCGUUGGGCGAUGUGGUUCUUGGCUUGCAGGCUGAGGUGCAUGCGACAGGAUCCUUCACCUCGAGCCGGGCAGAGCGCGGAUUAUCCGCUGUUGAUUGACUCGAGGCCGAGUCGGGUGGCUAGCUGGAAUAAGGUAGAUAGAACCUUGAGGGCUAGUGGUAAAUGUGAUAACCUAAGGUAGUGGAAACCUUAGAGUUGGAUGACAUGAGCUAAGAUUAGCGAGAUUGAUUGUAGAAUCAAUAAUUCUACUAGUUGUUGCAUAUAUUCAUGUUGCAUAUAUUCCUGUUGCAUAUAGCAUGGCAUCGUUGCAGUUGUGAGGCAAAGCAAGGUAAAGUUAGUUGCAUGUUUAUGAUAUACAUAUCUAUCUGUUUAUUGGACUAACUUGUAUUUGCCUCCCUUGGACCUGUUGGUCGAGCUCCUCCCUUGGGUGGCCGUACCCACUGGGAACCAUGGAGUUGGUUCUCACCCCACGUUGUUUUGGAGUUUUACAGGUUCGCACGUGAGCGGCGCGGCGGCGCGAGGCAAGGGCGUAGCUCCAUAGAUAGCGCCCUACCCCCAGAGACCAGAGCUAGCAGUACCCCGUCGACGUAGCUUAGAGGUAUAGAAAAUGAAAGCAAGCAAAUGUAUCAAAUUGUAAUCAAUAAAUGUUGUAAUAACUUAAUUGCAUUUGGAGGUUGAAUGUGAUGUAAAAUGAAUCUAAUGUGAAUGGUUGUAAUAUCAUAGGAUGUGUUUAUGUUGAUUGAUACCUUCCUGAUGCAAUUCUGUUUGCUGAGUACUGUUCCUGGUUGGAACCUUUGUAUUGUACUUGUUGCGACGCCUAGGACGUACAGGGGAAACUCUGUCCGUUCGGCGGUCUGUCGGCGUGCCCGAACCGGACCAAAUUGGGAGCGGUCUCAGGGCGUGACAGAUAAAGUGGUAUCAGAGCAUAAAGUAGAGAAUGGGAAAUGGUUUAGCUGGACCUAGGAGACCUAGGAUAGUAAACCAUAGGAGAAUAAGGCUCGUGAGAGACGAGGACUUAUGAUUUGUGGCGAAAGAUUAAUGGAUUGGGUUGUGUCGUAAACCUCUAAGACGGAUAUUAGAGGUAGACUUGAGGUGUGGUUUACUCUCAGCCGAGGAUGUUCAUGUUGGCGUACGACAACAUGAAACCUAGUGAUGAGAAUAGAUGCCCUCGCGUGACUUUCGCCUGAUUGGCUUUUGAGCCGUUGUUAGUGUUCUCGUGUUCGACCCAAGUUGGUCGAGAACUAAUUGAGUUGUCGUGUUUCAGGGAGCGAUGGCACCGCGUAGGCGAUCCUCAUCCAGAUCGGCGCAGGAAGGGACAAGUGGUGUUCCUGAGCAAGCUGAGGCGAGCGGAGACCCGAUGCUCCGCGAGCAAGUGAAUACGCUCAUGGGCAUAGUGCAGCGACAGGAGGAGCAGAUCAAGGAGCUCCAUGAGUUGUUGACACGACAGCCUGCGGUGGCUGCGCCGGUAGCAGCGUGCCGUGUACCGACAGGAGUCGCGAUGGAUUCGGGGGCGAUGGCCCCUGGUUCUGUAGAAUUGGAGGCGGAGAAAGAACGGACUUUGGCGGCCCUAAUGACUUUCAAGAAAUUUGAUCCGCCUACUUUCGAUGGAGAGAAUGUCGACCCGUGGAUCGUGGAGAUGUGGAUUGACUCCAUGGAAACGCUCUUCGAGGAGCUAUACACCUUGGAGCGGGACAAGGUGCCCCUAGCUGUGCAUUGCUUGAAGCAAUCAGCAAAGGCGUGGUGGAAAGGCAUUCGACGGGAUCGAUCGCCUAGUCUUCCUCCUAUGGCGUGGGAUGAAUUUCGGGGAUUAAUGUUUUCUACGUACUUCCCCGACACUGAGAGGAGAAAGCUUCGGGACAAGUUCAGGAAGCUGCGGCAAGGAGACCGCUCUGUGAGGGAAUACGAACGGGAAUUCUCCCGUAUCGUGAAUUGUGUCCCGGAUGUGGUACGGGAUGACAAGGAUAAGGCCGAUUGGUUCCUGCGUGGACUUCGACCGGAGAUUUAUAGGAGGGUGCAAAUCUUCCAGCUCACAACCUUUGCGAAGGUGUUGGACCGAGCAUUGUGGGCAGAGCAUGGCGAGGCUUUCGUGCGUGAGGAGCGCGAAUCUCGUAGGCAUGAGCGAGGAGGGGCGAGGCCAUUAUCGAGUGGUUCGGGUGGUCAGUCGAGUUCCAGACACCGCUCGAGGUCGUCCUCUACCCGAUCCUCCUCCGGAUGUGUGAUUUGUGGCGGUUCCCACCAGGCGCGGCGAUGUGCGCUGCGUGAUGGACGGUGUAUCCGUUGUGGACAGCCAGGCCAUAUGCGGGACGAGUGCCCGCGAGGUGAGAGUCAGGCCUUGAGGCCAGCGACGGCCCAUUCCUCUCUGGGACAGCCUGCAGGUGUGCCACCUGCGGCAUGGUCGGGGGAGCGGCCGUUGAGGACGAUGCAACCGGAGGGUUCGCGGCGAGCACCAAGUGGCCAGGGAUAUGCGACCCAGGUUGAUGAACCUGCUGCCAUCGAUGAUGCCGUUGCAGGUAUGAGUUAAUUACAUAAGCAUAUGCUUUUGCGUAAUCUCAAAUUGAUGCAUUGCAUGCAUUUAUCAUAUGAUCAGCACCUACUAAUUACAUACUGCAUAGUAGGGACCGAAUGGACGGGUAGGUAAGCACCCGAGCAUGCUUGCAUCGUAAGAGUGUAGCACCUGCGGGAGCAGGUAGAAAGCCAAGUAGUACUAGCAAAUCGCUAGCGAUGGUUCUUGGACGAAGAAUGGGACUCGUGGUGAACGUGAAAUGGUGGAGCGACUCUCAAGGCAAUGAGUAUCGAAUUGCGAGAGUUGCGCCGUGACGUUGCGAAUACCCGAGUGGCCUGAGCAUCUCGGAUAUUAUUUCGGUAGAUCGAACAGUGAGAGUAGAAUCACUGUUGAGAGAGCGGUUGGUUGAGGCCAAGUUUGGCCUGUGGGCCUAGUAGUACCUCGAAUUGAGGCGGACGAGUUGUUGCUCGUGUGGCCGGUGCGCAUGGGCUAAGCUCCCUGAUGCUGGACUUCGUGUGAGACGUUGUAGAGGCAUAGAGCGCUCGAGUAUAGAUACUCGUGAAGUGCGGUUUUGAUUCAGCCGGUCGAGUGAAUUGGCAGUAGCACUUCAGCAGGGCUAAGUGUGAAGCGGGCCAUGGAUCACUCGUGAGGGCUGGUGGCUCGCACUAGGUACUUAGGAGCCGGUAGAGUGUGUAGCUCUGCAGAGCAUGUCGUGUAGGACGACGUUGGCGGGUAGUGCUUGGGGACGAUCCGUGCCUGGACCAUUUGUGGACUGUGGAGCCUGGGCCCAUUGGGCAGGCGCAGUCAGCUGCGAGAGGCAGCGGCCCGGUACCUACGGGUAGGACAGAGAUUGGUCAGGACGGUAGUCCAAGCUUGGACCCGAGUACGUGGAAUGCCACGUGUUAGAUCGUGAGAUUGAGGACACACCGAGUGUGUGGUGACCCAACCCGAGGACAUGAUGUGGUUUGGGGUCUUGGUUGCUCCUGGUUGGAGUGUGUGCGAAUUCUCCAAUGAGAAUGUCGCCUGAUGAUGAUUAGGUCUACGAUGCGAGCGAGGGACGCUAUGCGUAGUUGCGACGGGUUUAGGCAGUAGGCCUACGUGGUGUUGGUGACCGUUGGUCCACCUGUGGAAGUCGACGUAAUCGGUUUAGCCGAUAACUCCAUGGAGGAGUUGGUGCAAGGGAAGUGAAUUCUCAAAAUGCAAGAGUUGGACUUCACUCAAAAUCGACUAAUUGUCGAGUGGGAGUGCUUCGUAAAAGCCGAGGAAGUCGAAUGCACCGAAAGUGCAUUGCAAUGGAGUCCGCGAGAGCAAAUAGUGCAAAAAUUUGCACUUGGCAAACUUGCUCUCGGGGACCGGUCCCUGGCGGGAGGGACCGGUUCCCGAACGUUGUCUACGCGAGCUUGCUCUCGGGGACCGGUCCCAGGAGGGAGGGACCGGUUGCCCCGAGGCUGAGGGCUAUGGCAAGCACGAGGCAACCGGUCCCUAGGCCAGAGGGACCGGUUCCCAAACAUGUGAGACUGGGGAUGUCCCUCUGGGACCGGUCCCAGGCAGGGAGAGACCGGUCCCCGAGCUUGAAACUUGCCAAGGCAGGCUGGGUCAUGUUGGGAAAAACUUGGAAAACUUGGAGAUAACGCUCUUUCGCGGAUUGAAGUUCGAGAGAUGUGCCGCGGUAGGCCAUCUCGUGGUUGAGCGAUUUGAGAUUAGAAGUGGCAAUUGAGAGAUAAAGGAAAGUGGUCUCUUGGAGACACUUGAAUACCGAAUAGCCACAUGGAGUUGUGGACAAUGCUCUCUUGUGAAUUAAGAAUCGAGAUAUGCCGGGGUAGGCCAUCUCGCGGUAGAGCAAAGUCCAAAUGUGAUUGGAGCACUCGCGAUGGGUCGAUGCACCAAUGAUAUUGCUUCUAAGCAAUGCUGGUGAUCGAAGCGGGGUGUGUUCUCUAACGGGAUGAAAAAUGCAAGGAAAGUUCUUGCAUGCCAAGUGGUGAAUGAUGUUGUAGCGCGUAGAGUCGUUGAGUUUCGACUUGCGCUACCACAAGAAUGGCGGAGACCCGUAAUGCACCUUCGGAGAUAUACAUAGCAAAUGCGAGCAUAUCUAGUCUCACAUCCUCUGAGAUGGGCCUUAGACAGUUCCAAUGAGCAUAAGGCCACUCCAAAGCAGAAAAGUGCAUUAUACCCUUGUUACUCGAUAAGUAGAGUCGGGGUAUGAGUUGGAGUUGGAAUUAUUUGAGUUUCGAGGACGAAACUCUUAUUAAGGAGGGGAGGAUGUAAGGUACCGGACUUCUAAAAUCAUGAAGUUAUGGUUUAUAUGAGGUUAGAAGGCCAUUGGAAUGGUUCUGGUGAAGUUCGGUGAGGUUCGGGAGCAAUCGAGCGUUUCGGUGAGCAUAGGCGCGAAAACGAAACCCGAAAGGCCAACUUGGGCCGUGAGCUAAAUCCGGCAUUAGCGUGGAUGGAAAGAUGAUGAAAACAUGUUUGAAAACAUGUUUGGAGAGUCUCGGUUCGAUUUGAGACGAAUCGGAGGUCAAACGAACGAAAACGGGCGAAAACGGAGCGAAAACGGACGAAGCUGAAAAUUGGCUAAGUCUGGGCUGGAGGUCUCUCUGGGACCGGUCCCAGGUAGAGAGACCGGUCUCCCAGAGACCGGUCCCUCAUGUAGAGACCGGUUCCCGAACCCCGAAAAUGCCCAGUUCGGGCUGUUGCAAGAAGAGGCUUGUUGAGGGGCUUAAGUGCAAUUUUGCACUUAUUAGAGUGUAUAGAAGUGGGUUUUAGCCCAUUUCUCUCUUCUCCCUCACCCAAACACCACCUCUCUCUCUCUCUAAACGUGAAGAAGAAAGGGAAAAGAAGAGAAGAAAGGAAGGAGAAUGAAGAAGGAGGAGAAGAGAAUCAUCACCACCAUCAUCAUCUUCUUCUUCCUCUCAACCUUGGAGCAAACCUAGAGAGGUAAGCUUCUAGGGCUCUAAUGGUAACUUCUUAGGGUUUGGUUAAUACACUCUAAGAAUGGUUUAGAUGGAAUUCUAGCAUGCUUAUGAGUAGAUUAAUGCAUGAAUCGGAGAUCGAUUUGGGGUAUUUUGCCGUAGUCGCUUAGCCGGAGGGCGCCGUGAGCCGUGGGCAAACCCGGGCUAGAGUGUCAAUGAGAGAUUCUCGCGCAGCGAAACGGCAAAGUUCACGAUUGCUAGAAGCGGAGCGGCAAUGCUACGAGCCCUGGGUUAAAGUGCUAAAUACCUGCAGCGAAGCCGGGAGGUCCGCCUUUGCUUCGAGGUUCGCAGGCAAAGAAGUUAUAGAAACAUUGCCGAGCAGCCUAACCGCUUGGCAGAAGCGGUUGCACAAAGCAAUGGAUAGUUAAUCCAAAUGUCUCCCAAUAAAUUCUAGUUUGGGUAGAUAAAUGUUUUUAGGGUAAAAACUCGGGAUCAAANNNNNNNNNNNNNNAAUGCAAGAUGAUGCAUGUAGUUGAUACUAAAUAUAUGUAUGUGAUAUCUAUAGUACUCGAUAUGACAAUAGGACGUCAAGUAGAUUGAGUGGCAUUAACCUAGUGUUAGUAAACAUAGGUCGGACAUAGAUGACAUUGAACCUAGUGUUGUUGAACCUAGGAUAAAUAACGAGUGGCAUCUAACCUAGUGUUAAAGAACAUAGGUUGAGUAUGAACCUAGAGUCGGGAUCUAGGUGUGUGGCAUCUAACCUAGUGUUAAAGAACGUAGGUUGAGAACUGAACCUAGAGUUAAGGUAAACCUAGGUUGUGAAACUGAGGCAUUAGACCUAGAGUCAGUUCGACCUAGGGUGGAAAGUGCAUUGGACCUAGAUAGGUCAAUAGUAUAGGGUUGGAUAUGGACCCUUGACUUGUGAAGUCGAUUCCGGAAUCUCAGUACUUGUGAACUCAAUAGUUCUUGGACCGCGGGUGUAUGCGGCGAUGUUCCUCUCCCACCGGAAAGAACUUUGAGGAUUAUGACUAAGCAAGAACAAAGAGCGCUAGGGUGGAUGCGGUAUAUUCCUCUCCCUAUCGGGGGUCUCGGCUAUGGGUGUACGCGGCUAUGUUUUCUCUCCCACUGGCGGAUCCCUGACCACGGUGCACGGACCUUCGGGCGGACCGUUGGGCGAUGUGGUUCUUGGCUUGCAGGCUGAGGUGCAUGCGACAGGAUCCUUCACCUCGAGCCGGGCAGAGCGCGGAUUAUCCGCUGUUGAUUGACUCGAGGCCGAGUCGGGUGGCUAGCUGGAAUAAGGUAGAUAGAACCUUGAGGGCUAGUGGUAAAUGUGAUAACCUAAGGUAGUAGAACCUUAGAGUUGGAUGACAUAAGCUAAGGUUAGC
rnacentral:lncRNA from 1 species